rnacentral:tRNA from 1 species
GGGGUUGUGGCUCAGAGGUGGAGCGCUCGCCUUCCAUGCGUGAGGCAGGCACCAGGUUCUAUCCUCAGCCCCA